UACGUAGGGAGCAAGCGUUGUCCGGAAUCACUGGGCGUAAAGCGCACGUAGGCGGAUUGCUAAGUCAGGGGUGAAAUCCUGGAGCUCAACUCCAGAACUGCCUUUGAUACUGGCGAUCUCGAGUCCGGGAGAGGUGAGUGGAACUGCGAGUGUAGAGGUGAAAUUCGUAGAUAUUCGCAAGAACACCAGUGGCGAAGGCGGCUCACUGGCCCGGUACUGACGCUGAGGUGCGAAAGCGUGGUGAGCAAACAGG
rnacentral:rRNA from 1 species